UUAUUUCAGUGUACAUAAUAACAAAAUAACUGGAACAAUACCUGAGGGAAUAGGAGAUUUGGUUAAUUUAGAGUAUCUAUCAAUGGGUGAAAAUCUUCUUGAGGGCAGUAUUCCCACGUCCAUUAGCAAAAUCAAUAAGUUGGGUCGACUGUACCUACAAAAUAACAAACUUUCAGGAUUCAUCCCACCAUCUCUUGGCAAUCUUACAAAUUUAGAAGUAGUUGCACUACAAGGCAAUGCAUUUGGUGGUGUCAUACCUUCCACUCUCAGCAGCUGUCCUCUAGAACAGUUGGAUCUUUCAUACAACAUUCUUAAAGGUAGGAUACCUAAAGAACUUUUCCUAAUACCAACCUUGUCUGUCUCCAUGCGUAUCAGUCAUAACUUAUUAAGUGGGCCAUUGCCUUCUGAGUUGGGUAAUCUACAAAACGUAGCAGCACUUGAUUUUUCUGAUAACAGGAUUUCAGGAGAGAUUCCUUCAUCCAUUGGUGGGUGUCAAAUCUUAGAGUAUCUCAAUAUAUCUGGGAAUGGUCUUCAAGGAGAAAUUCCAUCAUCAUUAGAAAAACUGAAUGGCCUCUUGGUGCUUGACCUUUCCCACAAUAAUUUAUCCGGGGCUAUCCCUGAAUUUCUUGGGACUUUGAGAGCUCUUUCUUCUUUGAAUCUCUCAUUCAACAAAUUUGAAGGGCAAGUUCCGCAAGAUGGGAUAUUUCUCAAUGCAACUGCGAUCUCGAUCAUUGGGGAUGAUGGCCUUUGUGGUGGUAUCCCUGAAUUGAAGUUGCCAGCUUGCACCCAAAACAUCUUCAACAAGUCAUCUUCUAAGCUUAUCAAGAUAGUUUCCAUAAGCAGUGCCAUUGUACUCAUCACACUGGUUUCUGCACUGUUCACAUUCUACCAGAGGAAAAAGGUUACAGAAGCAAAACUGCAAGCCUCACUCCAGCAAUAUAUGAGGGUUUCUUAUGGAGAAUUAGUAAGGGUAACAAAUGGUUUUGCUUCUGAGAACAUUAUCGGAGCAGGAAGCUUUGGCUCAGUUUACAAGGGUAUAAUGAUAAGCACUGACCAACAAGAAGUUGUCGCUGUUAAGGUCCUCAAUCUCUCACAACGUGGUGCAUCUCAAAGUUUUAUUGCAGAAUGUGAGACUUUGAGAAGCAUUCGGCAUCGGAACCUAGUGAAGCUAUUGACAGUUUGUUCAAGCACAGAUCAUCAGGGUCAUGAAUUCAAGGCCAUCGUAUAUGAAUUCCUACCAAAUGGAAAUUUGGACCAAUGGUUACACCAGAAUUUCCGAGAAGACGAAGAACGCAAGGCACUAGAUCUUAGUUCGAGACUGCAGAUUGCAAUUGAUGUAGCAUCCUCACUUGAAUAUCUCCACCAACACAAGCCUUUUCCAAUCGUUCACUGUGAUCUUAAGCCAAGUAACGUUCUCCUAGAUACUGACAUGGUCGCUCAUGUCAGUGAUUUUGGCCUAGCAAGGUUUCUACAUCAAGACUUGCAGCAGUCAAAUAGUUGGGUAACAAUGAGAGGAACAAUUGGUUAUGCUGCUCCAGGUGUGAGUCUCUAUAUAUGAAUCUUUAUUCUUUUCUACAUAUUCGACCACACUGGUUUCAAUCAAAUUAUGAAGAUGCUUUCUUGUUAUUUCAUUACUUAGAUAUACACAUUUUCAUGAAGUGAUUUUUUAUGUACAAUAAAGAAGAACUAUAUUACAUUUUCCAUUUAAAUAUUGUGGAUGUCAUGAACAUGGACAAUUUCACAGAAAUCACCAGUUGCACCUACUCAUCCUUGUGCCUAUAUUUUAUUCACAUCUUUUCUAUUGAUUUCAGAGUAUGGACUGGGUAAUGAAGUAUCAAUCCAUGGUGAUGUUUAUAGCUAUGGCAUACUGUUAUUGGAGAUGUUCACAGGAAAAAGACCAACGGACAGCAAAUUUGGAGAAGACCUUGGCCUUCGGAAGUACGUCCAGAUGGCACUGCCAGAAAGUGUGGCUAACAUCGUAGACCAAAACUUACUGCAAGAUGCAUGGGACUGCAAUGCAAGAAGCACAACCUCUUGCAGCAAUAAGGACACGGAAAAUUCUUGCAUUGCCUCGACUCUGCGCAUUGGGAUUUCAUGUUCGGCGGAAAUGCCAGCAGACCGUCCAAGGAUUCGAGAUGCUCUCAAGGAGUUGGAGUCAAUCAGAGACAAGCUUCACAAGGACUUGCUCCUAGAAGGAGCGUCAAGGUCUUAAAUUCAUGGAGGCCAUUGAAACAUUACAAUCAGCAAGGCCCAUAAGGCACAAGGCAUUGCAAGGUGCGAAUUUCUGCAGCCCCCCGCCAUUCAGAGGGCUCCAUCUUGUUCCUCACAAAACUAUAGUUCUGUCGAGUAAAAGGGAAUGUUUAGUUGCAACUUGAAUCCAUUAUCUUUCCCCGCCUUUUUUUUUCAAAAACAGAUAAUCACCUCAUCACCCACAACUUGCUGGUGCUUCCAUCCACAGUAACAGCGCCACAGCCUUUUUUUUUAUGAUUUCUUUUUUUCCGUAACGAAUUCAUUUCCCAUACUGUUGCUGCUGCUACAAGUCUACGACUAAGGCAAAUCAACUAUUUCCCAUGUAACAAGCAGUAAUCACAGAGACGCCUACGAGACAAAGAGGUGAGGAGCUCACCUCCAACGCGGAGCCAAUGACGAUGGCGAAGCAGCAAGCGAGGUUGCCGCCCGCUCCAGCUACGGGGCCAGAUCUCGCGCUAGCGACGAGUCGACUGCGCUGGGAGUCCUAUACCCAGACCGGCGCGGGCGCUCGCUCCAUGGAGGAAUCCGAGGUCUAGCCAGCGGCCUGGGACGGGAAGGGGCGGUCGCCGGCGGCCGGAGAAGGAACGGGAAGCAGCGCAAGCAAAAGCGGGCUGGCCUUCUAAUACGGCUUAUUGGGCCUUACGUGAUGGGCCGUGUAAAUGAUUGGCAAAUCUCAGGAAUAAAGACCCGACAGAAAAACCGGAAAUCCUAUCCAUCUUCCGGAGAAUUGAGGGAUCAUAUGUUAGCCUACUGAACUGUUGGUUACUGUCAGUGACAAAAGCUUCUCUGUCAGAUAAGUUGAUAGUUGAUGGUUUGGACAGUUUGGCUGAUCAAUUGAGAGAUGAAGAUUGAAGACCAAGGUGAUGCUGUGGUGUUCAAGACCGAAGAGAAGGCACUCUGAGGGGCUGAGAAGACAGCCCCAGAGGUUGAGAAGACCAUAGGUAAAAAUAAUUCCAGUGAGGACAAAUAUGUACAUGGUGAUGAGUUUUGGAAGAAGACGCUGCUGGAGACACCCUCAGGCUUCGCCCUGUUUGAAGUUAACGAAGUUGCACUCAAAGAACCUGAUGUACUCGUCUGUUUCUCUUUCUUUCCUACACAAGCUUCUUCGCCGUUUUGCCUUUUUCUUUUGGACCUUGCAACUAGUGAUGAAUCUCCACAUGGUUUGUCAUUUCCCCUGGCAGGAUAUCUGGGUGUACUUUAGGGAUGUGACUACUGCAGAAAAGGUACAAUCUGGAUAGCUCUGUUUGCAGCAGAACACUGCCUUUAUUUUCACUUUCC
rnacentral:lncRNA from 1 species